UGAAGAUGAUGAUGGCAGUGAUGGUAUCUGAUAUAUGACCCCUUUGAUAGGGUCAUGUUGACCACCAAAGAGGUCAUGAAUCGGUAAACCUCAUACUUGAAGACAUCACCAGAACUGUCUGCAAUCAGGAUCUCUUGUGUUUCUUGGAAAUACCACUUCAGUCUCCUAUUUAUCUUUCAUUCAGAAAAUCAAGUUGGAACAUAAGUGAGAAUGCCAUGACUCAAUCUACCCUUUUCAACAAAACAAUUGCACAAGGAAACCACAGAGGAGAAAGCAAAAAAAAAUGGAAUCAAGAAGCCCAUUUAGGAACCAUUGCAAUAAUCAAGG